AGCACCACGCGCUGUCUGUGUGGUUUCACUGUUACAAGUUUCUUGGCGAUAUGGGGGAAAGUUCCUCACAUACCAACGGAAAAUGGGCUUCACAUACAUGCUGCUGUCUCAUAAUAUGGCGAAGACGAGUCACUUGAAGGCCUAACAGCUCUUAUGAGGAGCAGUCUUGCCAUAGAAGACUGAAAGAAUGUAAGAUUAACUUCUUUGUGACCAAUAUGACUUGCUCAUUGAUACAUUAGCUAUGUCAAUAUGAGAUGCAUGGCGAAGUAUUUAAUUUAUUUGUCUCUCUUCUAGGAGCUGUAGAAACAACAGGGUGCCUGCUGCAGUAUGACGAGGACGCCCUGAUCAUAGAAGGUCCAGUGUCUUGGCAGGGUGAAAUGGCACUGAUAUCGUGUCCUGCAGGAUGCUGUGUCCUGCAAUCCUGUGUGCUGUGCUACAGACGCGUGUGGAGGUCAACCCGAAAUGGGCACAGUAGAGUGAAAGAGGAUCCUGGCAGGGAGACGGUAGUGUCCUGCAGGAUGGUGAUGGGCAAUCUUACAAGAGACCACAGAAAACUGAUAUAGUGUAAGAUUAUCCCUGUUGGGCUCAAUAUGUCUUGCUUAUUGAUAUAUUUGCUAUGUCAAUAUGAGGUGCAUGACGAAGUAUUUAUUUAUUUGUUAUUUCUACAGCUCCCAGAAGUGAGACUGAGUGCCUGUUGCAGUAUGACGAGGAAGCAGUGACCAGAGACCUUCAGUAGACCCUGCUGGCAUGAUUGGCGGCUGAAGAACAUAAUCAACAGCAAUGUUUAUAAUAUUGUACAUACCUGUAUAGUCUGCACUAAAAUGCUGUACCUGUACUAUUUUUCCUCUUACUUUCAUAUUUACCACGUAUUUACUAUGAAUUGACAACUUUUACUCAAAUCCAUUUUUGUAUGUGCCCUGACUAAAACUAUCCUUAAACCUAACCUGUCAGAGGUGUAAUAACAACCUGCUCUUAGCAAUGUGGCAGCAGUCUACUUGGAUGCAGCGGGGAACAUAGAACCCUUUUUUGAAAAAGCAUUGUAUGUUUCUGAGUUUUAUGAAUUGUGCCCUUCCCAAACCUAACCUGUCGUAGGGGCCUAUGAAAUCCGUUUUAUUUUUC